rnacentral:lncRNA from 1 species
AAAAAGGACGCCGCAAAGUCCUGCAGAGCCCCCAAAAGACACAAGCGCGGACAGAAAAGCAUCCCCCGAGAGACAGCGAAGCCACACACCCUCUCCGGGCCAGCUACCAGGGCGGGCAACUUCACCCCUCGAAGCAAACGAAAGCCCCUGUUCUCCAAGCAAAGGAAAAGGGGAUGGCAAACAGAAAUAAACAGGAACCGCUCUCAGCCUUCAUCUUCCGCGCCCUCCCCCAGCAAACUCCAGGUGAUGGUGAACAAGAUGGACAUAAGGCCUUCCUCAGUGGCAAGGAUCUCAAGAUCCCUUCUUGAUCUCAGAUUCUGUAAAUGGGAUACCUUUCUCCAUGUACUGAAGCAGCUCAAAGCCCUCGCCAGAUCUCAGCACCAUGCUCUUGGACUUACCAGCCUCCAGAACUCCCUACCCCAAAGUAAGCCCCCAUGUGAGGGCAGUGACAAUGGUGGUUAUACAGAUGCCAAAAAACCACAGAAAAAGCACUUAUCUAUAGCCAGAAGACCCAGGAAAGAGCCCUCUGACCACCCCUGAAGGGCGUGGCAAAAAGUCAGGUUAUUCCUCUUUCCUCUUGCCACUGUGUGGCAAAUAAAGACUCAGUUAUAGGAAAGGCACAACAGUGUGAGAAGGCUAAAACUCAGAGAGAAACUGCAGCUUUCUAGCCAGAGAACUGGGAUAAGAGAUGCCUGGAAGCUGGGGAAAUCACAGAAGAGGUGAAGUGCUGAAGGAAUCACAGAAGAGGUGAAGAGCUGAAGAAGAAGAUUCUGUAAAUUUGUGUACCUCUGUAUGAACUGACAGAAGUCUUAGGCUCACCCACAAGAUGAACAUGCUCAAGACAGGCCAAAAAGAGCAACAUGAAGGCUUUAGAACUGACCUAGAGUGUAGACUCCACAGAGGUCCCAGACUGGCACCCAGCGGCACACACAUGGGAUAGAUACAAACAGCUGUAAAGUCUUUAAAAACUGAACCACUGCCUACAGAAGGUAGUCAGAACAUGUAGUCUAAACGUCUCUGGGUUGAUUAUCUACUAAAGCAACCAGAACAACAAAACCAACAAUUUCCAGGAGAUUUUUACAUGACCACAAGGCUCAUAACAUAACACUCAAAAUUUUCGUGAUAAAAUCCAAAGUUACUUGGCAUAUAAAGAACCAAGUAAAUCUAAAUGGAUCAUAAGAAAAAAGCAAUCAUGAAAUGCCAAUUCCAAGAUGCCAGAGGUUGGAAUGAUCGGACAAAUAUUUUAAUUCAGUUAUUAUAAUCAUCUUCAAGUAUAGUCAUCUUUUGCUAAUGUGAUUGUUGUAAUAAACUGUCUUUCAUCUUUGACCUGGAGGCUUCAUGUUUUUCUGCCAGUAUCUAUGAAACUGUGACAGACAAACUUGUUAGUUGACAAGUACAGUAAAAUCUUCACAAUUCCUGACAUGAGAGUUUAACAAACAUCAAAAAUGAAAGAAAGAAUAUAUCACAAUUCCUGACAUGAGAGUUUAACAAACAUCAAGAAUGAAAGCAAGAAUAUCACCACAGGUCCUAAAGAUAUUUUAAAAAAUAACAAAAGAAUACUACAAAAAAAUGAUAUGUCCAUUAAUUCAACAACAUACACGAAAUAGACUAAUUCUUCUGUCUUUCACACAAAAAGGAUUCAGUACUAUAUAAAAAGGACAGUACACCUAGCCAAAUGUGGUUUGAGAAAUGUAAGACUGCUAUAAAAUUUGAAAAUCAAUCAGUGUAACUCACCAUAUUAACAGAACAAAGAAGAAAAUAUACAGAUCUUUUCAGUAGAUGAAGAAAAAGUAUUUUACAAAAUUUUAUGAAAGAUUUUCAUCCAUCUAGAAUAGUAAAAGUUUGUCUUAAAGCAAAUGAAAAGAUUAAAGAAUACAAGAUCUCUUGUUAACCAAUAAUUAUGCAAAUUUAUUUGAUUAUAUAAACACUUUCACAGAACCAAGAACCAUGAGAUGACUAUUUUAGAUAAGAAAGCCUCUGGGCCAAAAGUAGGAACCCUUAGAAACCAUCAAAACCUUGAAAUCUGCUCUGAAUACACUCACAUUCCAUGGACACUGACAGCACAGGACAAUGAUCAGGAACACAGACUCUGAUGCCCAGCUGACUGGGGUCCAUCCUGGCUCCAAUAUCCGUCCAUCUGCCAACUUUAUAAUCUUGGGGACACUCAAGUAACUUUUUGGUGCCUAUUUCUUUUUUUUUCUUUGUGUGUGUGUGUGUGUGUGUGUGUGUUUAUUUUUAGUGGAGACGGGGUUUCGCCAUGGUGAUCAGGUUGGUCUCAAACUCCUGACUUCAACUUAUCCACCUGCCUUGACUUCCCAAACUGCUGGGAUUAGAGGUAUAAGCCACCACUCCUGGCCUAGUGCCUGUUUCUUAAUUUACAAAUGGAGAUAACAAUAGUGCCUAACUUAUAGGACUGUUGUGAGGAUUAAGGGAGUUAAAACAUAUAAAACCCUUAGAGCAGUUGUUCGGGAGGCCUUGAACUCUGCAGAAAACAAGGCAAAUGGAUAGCAUUGUUUAUUUACUCUUGGGCCCGCUCCUUCCUUUUCCACUCCCUCUAAUCAUAGUGAACACUUACUGACCUCUUAUAAUGCAGCAAGUGCUAUACUAAAUGAUGUACAUUCAUUAUUCCAUUUAAUCCUUCCAAUAUCCUUGUAAAAUAAGUACAAUUAUUAUUUACAUUUUUCAAAUGAGAAUAUUGGAUUGAUUCACUUUAUAUAGAGACAGAAGUACAAAUACAAACAUACACACACAAAUCACCAUUUAGGUUAUCAUCAUGUCUUACUUUUAUUUAUGAGUCUUUCUGUCUUCUUGGGUAAUCUUUUAUGUCUGGCUCAUCCAGUAUAUAUUAAUUUUGUAGUUUAAAUCUCUAAGAAAAAAACCUCAUUUCAUUAUGGGUGGCAAACUACUAUUUUGCUCACAUACCACCUACCUGAUUAUUGACUACUUUUUACUUUAAAUAUGUUAUUUUAUAACUUUUUCCAAGGGUGUAGCUAUUUUGGCCUAGCAAUGGGCAUACUGUGGUAUGUGUACAGAAACCCGAGCCAGCAGGGUGCUUACUGCACCCAGGAGUAGGCAUUCUUGGAGUCAGUGUGGGAACAGAUUUCAGUCAUGUCAUCAUGUAUUAAUAACAGAAACACAGUAUUAAUGAACAGAUCAAACUCUCCCUGAUGGUUUGAAGCAGACCUGACUCUUUUGGAAUGUUUUCUUAGAAAUAAGUUGAUCAAUUUUUUCUGUACUUUAUGCCAAUGGCUGUGUCAGCAUGGCUGAUUUGGAGGCUAAUUAUGUGAUUUUUAUAGCUAUUCUGGGAAAACAUGAACAUACUGGAAAUAGAAUGGGGGAGGAUAUGAGAGUGUUGACCUAAAAAUGGAGACAAGCCAGAGUGUUAAUGAUUUCCAUGCUGUUCAGCAGAAAUCAUCUCCCAUGGUCUCUGUUGAUAGUUUGCAUCUAGGGAUGACAGAUUUCCAAAAUACGGUUACUUAAGAAGUGAUUAUAGGAAGUCAUCUCUUCCUGUCAUUAAAAAAAAAAUAAAUCUGGGGCUGGGCGCAGUGGCUUAUGCCUGUAAUCCCAGCAUUUUGG